AGGGAUGUAGUUGAAUAGGUUACAACACCACAUUGUCAAUGUGGAAGGUGUGGGUUCAAAUCCCAUCAUCCUCA